AAGGAUCAUUAAUAGGCUUUGUCGAGUCUUGGAUUUUUCAUCCUUCGACUCGACAUCCUGAUCAUUCCUAUGUGCACUUAUCGAAGAAUGCUUUGGUAGGUCUAUUGACCUACCAAAAGUUUUUUCUAUCGCCUUCAUUUUUGUCUGAAAUAAAAAUUCUAAUGAAAUACAACUUUCAACAACGGAUCUCUUGGCUCUC
rnacentral:misc_RNA from 1 species